rnacentral:rRNA from 1 species
CCUACGGGACGCAGCAGUGGGGGAUAUUGCACAAUGGAGGAAACUCUGAUGCAGCGACGCCGCGUGAGGGAAGACGGUCUUCGGAUUGUAAACCUCUGUCUUUGGGGAAGAAAAUGACGGUACCCAAAGAGGAAGCUCCGGCUAACUACGUGCCAGCAGCCGCGGUAAAACGUAGGGAGCGAGCGUUGUCAGGAAUUACUGUGUGUAAAGGGAGCGUAGGCGGUCGGGAGAGAUGAAUGUUAAAUCUA